UACGUAGGGGGCAAGCGUUGUCCGGAUUUAUUGGGCGUAAAGAGCGUGUAGGCGGCCUGAAAGGUCAGCUGUGAAAACUCGAGGCUCAACCUCGAGACGUCGGUUGAAACCAUCUGGCUAGAGUCCGGAAGAGGAGUGUGGAAUUCCCGGUGUAGCGGUGAAAUGCGCAGAUAUCGGGAAGAACACCCGUGGCGAAGGCGGCACUCUGGGACGGUACUGACGCUGAGGCGCGACAGCGUGGGGGAGCAAACAGG
rnacentral:rRNA from 1 species